GCCCGGGUGGCGUAACUGGUAGCCGCGGAGGGCUUAAACCCCUCCGGUCGAAAGGCCGUGUGGGUUCGAAUCCCGCCCCGGGCA
rnacentral:tRNA from 1 species